rnacentral:snRNA from 1 species
GUGCCUGGAUGGCCGCUCAUAUGCUAAAAUUGGGCCAUACAGAGAAGAUUAACAUGGCUUCUGAGCAAGGGACAUAAAAAUUCAGGUAUUU